rnacentral:lncRNA from 1 species
AUUAGACAGUGUACCCAGCCCCAAAUUUGAAAUUUUUGAGCACUGACAUGACACCACAUGUGGAAAACCCUACACCCGGGUUUAGGUGGUGGAUUGUAGUCAAAAUGCAAGUGCACAACACGCAGUUUAUUCAGUAACCCCAAGAGAAAAAUAAAGUUAUCUUCAGGCUAUGUGCAGAAGAUGUGUAUGAAACAUAAAUGAAUUUCAUGUUUAGAUUUGGGUCCCAUCCCCAAAAUAGAUCAUUAUGUAUAUGCAGAUAUUCCAAAAUUUGAAAAAAUUUGAGAUCUGAAAUACUUCUAGUCCCACACAUUUCAGAUAAGGGAUACUCAACUUGUGUAUACACAAUAUAUAGACAGUCCCCAAAUUAUGGUGGUUCAGUUCACAAUUUUUUGCCUUUACAGUGGGUUUAUUGAGACAGCAAAUGCAUUUUAGACCCACAAUGAGUUGUAUUGGGAAGUAGUCCCAUCAUAAGUCUAGGAUCAUCUGUAUAUAUGUUUUAUUGUAUUAAACAGCCCAUUUUAGUAUGUUGGCUAUUUAAGCAUUUCAGUCUGUCCUGGUGAUGAUAGCAGAGUAGAUUGUAAUCAAAGAAAACUGUUUGCCAGCAGGCAGAUGCAGAUCAGAAUAAAGGUGAGGUUGGGUGCUUGUCGGAAAGACCGUCUCAGCCAGAAAUCAGAAUGAACUACAUUUUUCAGGGUCGUGUUCCACAUAUUAAGGAUAUGCAAAUUAGCUUCUCCAUCAAUUAACACAACCACAGAAGUCCAAAGAGGCAAAAUCUGGAGCAGCAGGUGAGCAAGAAGAGGCACGGCUUGGAGCAAACCAGGGGGUACCUAGAAGAUGGCUUGUGGUCAUCACAGUGAUGAGCAAGAGAUGUAAGCCAGAAAUAUUCACCAGCUGGUUAGUUUAGCCUUAAAGGCUACUGACUGUGGGCCAGGCUAGACAGAAACAAUCUGGGUUAAUCUACUCAAUUUAAAUCCAGGCAGCGGGGAAAAUGGAUACUUUCAUAUGUCUCUGUACCCAACUAUAAACUUUUGGUUCUCAUGCACCAUUUUCAUUUUGCCUUCUCACUCCAAGUACCACUGAUUUUACCAAUUACUCUCAUAAUUGACUUUGCUACUGGAAGAAACUCUUAGAAUGUUGGAAUUUCUCUAUUACACACUUUGCCUCAAAGAAUGUGUCAGUCAGGACUAAAGCAAUAGUCUCAGGGCAGACAGCCAACCUACAUCUGAUGACAACAUUGCAGUACAGUAGUCACAAUAUGCUGACUUCUGAGCAAGCCCGUGGCACUACCCUGGAAGGAUGGCCCCAGAGAAGCUGGGAUAUGCAAGCUACCCGCCUCAUAGUUCGGAGACCAUUGAGUGGAAAGUGCUUCCCCUUUGUUCUUUCUGUUUAUUCACAAGUGGGUGAAAUGGAUUUCUGAGUCUCCUAGCCUAAAGCAAGUUUUGGCUUGAUGACUUUUAUGGGCAUUUAUGUUUACUUUGUAAAAGUGUAAGAAACAAUAAGUUAUAGUAAUAUGGGGGAGUGGGAGGUUAGUAGUUGUUUAAAUCUUUUUAAAAAGAAUGCAUUUGCAAGAGAUUAAUGUUUAUGAGUGGCUAGGACAUUCAGAGAGCAUAAAGUGCUUUUAGGGUGUGUUGAGAUGGGGAGUUUUCAAAUGAGCCCAGAGUUUCUGAAUUCCUUGAAGCCAUUCUGAUAAUUUCUUUGAAAGAAAACUUGCCCCUGUAAACAUGUUUGCUGUGUGUCUGUUCCAUCGUUGCAGGGCUGGUUCUAACGCUACAUCAGGAAAUGGAAUUCUUGGGCACAGUAAUAAUAGAGAAGUGAGUCAUUGGAUUAGAAGGUCACCUAUCCAGACGAAUCAGUGGGAAAUUAGUUCUAUGGUCUGUUUGGUUUGGUAAUAAAAGGAAGUAUAUUUCUCCAAUCGAUAAAGUUCCUAGUUCUUUAAAAAUUUCUCUCAAAUCCUUGGUAGGACAUACUUAAGACUACAAACUUGUCAUUUUCUAGCUGGGGAAGAUGGUUCCUUAAAAAGGAUCCUGUUUGUCACCACCCUGUGGGCACUUUUUUGAAUUCUUCAUUUGAAGGGCCUUGGAAACCAUUUCAUCAUGCCUCACCAUAUGAAUAUAUAAUGUUUCCUAAGUACUGAAUAGUUUUCCUUCAUUCUGGGUCCAAGGGGUGGCAGUUGAAGACAGGCUGGGAACUGCUACCAAUCAUCACAGUGGCCUGGUUUCAGAAGGGCUCUAUGUUCAUCUCCCCUCGUUUUUCUUCUCUUACCUCUGUUGGGAGAUCAUCUGCAGAAAUCCUUCUGUGCCCUUCAGUAGACUUGGCAUCAAGGAAGACUGAGGUUUUCCAGCUCUCCAGUGGCAAAGACCUGGGGCUGUCACUGGGGAGGCUGCACCUGGGCUGGACCCGUUUGUACUGAUGGCACUGGGUCCUGCACUAUCUGUGCAGCCCUAAAAAUAGCUCUCAAUUAACAUUGCAUUUCAAGAAUUGGAAAAUUUCCCAGAAGUCCAUUCUUUCUUCCUUUUCUAUUUCAUUACAUUUUGCAGUAAUAAUACACAAGCCUCCAGAAAACAUGACGGGUAAUGAAAAAAUGUAAUUAAUAUAAGCAGCGUAAAGCAUGUUUUUUUUUCUCUGUUGUCCUUGCAGAAAAUUGCUGCUUUAAACCAAGCAGGAUAUGAAAAUGCAUAAACCCCCCCUAAUCUGCUGUGGUUUGUAAAUAUCUUAUGCAAAACAGUUAAGUCAACUGUCAGAUUUUUUUUUUUUAACAUUAAGCCACAUAUUCUUGUAAAAUUUGUUUCCCCUGCAGGACAAGUGGAGUGAUUUAGAUAAGUAUUUGUGAGGGGGAAGAAAUGGCAGUGAUGGUAAGGUUUUUCAACAAUAAACCUAAAAGCAGAAAGAACCUCCUUUUUGAAUUGCUGGUCUGUCCAUUGGUUUCAUCUGAAUGGCAUUGUGUGCUGCCUCUAGGUACACUCAAUUUUGGUAUAGUACUUGCGAAAAGUAAAUGUCCUUGCUACAAUUUCACACCAGUACACCUUAUCCCAUUCAUUGAAAUAAAGUGAUUAAGACGCCAAGAGGCUGUGGUAUAGUCAACAUGCUGGAGACCAUUUUGGUUGACUUAUCUGUACCACUAGUAAUUAUCUAUAGGUGUUUGACUAAGAAGCCACAAUAGAAUUUCAAAACUGAAAUACAGAGCAUUAUUCUGAAAACAUCUUCCAAGGCCAGUGCUUACGGUUUGUUCGCAUUUGUUCUUUUCUUUGUCCUUUAACAGCAACAACAACAAAAACUACAGUUAAUAUAACUUAUGGGUCAUUGUUAAUUUCUAUCUUGUCCUGAGUUCUAAAGGUUUCCUACGGCCUGGAUGUGCGUGAACUUUCAGAUUUCGCUCUCUGUGGAAACUCCUGGCCUUGUCACCACUGUGCCACUAGGCUCCCUCGUGAAGCAGGUCUAGCCUUGCAAGGAGAUAUUUUCAAAGUAACCAGAGUUUUCGGCCCCAGAGCAGAGAAUGAUCACCAUAACACAGGCAGCGUCCAUCCCUAGCCCCUGCUGACCAAAUGGCAUGCAGGAGAAAUGAGGUGGCUGGAAGAUGUCUCCGUGGAAUAGAGGUUCCUAGACUCAUGAACCUUAGGGAGGAAGAAACAAAUGGCUCUCUCCUUGGGGAACUUUCUCACUCUUCUCCGGCACCGCUCCUGCCUUUCCAGAGAAUGGGGUCUGCUUGUUUGCAAAUCCAGAGUACCAACUGGGUCAACCGAUGGAUCUUUGUGGAACUCCUCUGAUAAGCCUACAGUGGUUCAAGCACCGUACAGGCAGACUGAAGACAGAAAGAAGUGUGAGUCACAGAGUCUCUUCCAAAUUUCAGACCUGUGGCAGCUUCCCAGAGGCUGGAGUAGACCAGAAGAGAAUGACUAAGGCAUGAUGUUCUGGGAGUUACAGUCCUGGCACGUAAUUGUGAAUAUGGCACAAAAUGAGGCGGUGGGUGUCCAGACUGCACCUAACAAUGGGAGCCUGAGAGCAAAUGGCUGGAAGGUCAGGAAGGCAGGAGACUGUCAGUAGCAAGAGCAGGUGGGUGCACAUUAUGUAGCCUCGAGCACCAGGCUGGGAUGAGAGAUGGGACUCCACCCCCUGUGGAGGGGCAAAGUAGAAGCCAAGCCUGGACUCAAAUCACCAAGAUUGGGGCCCAGAAACAAAGGAAGAAAGCUGAAAGUCAGUACCCAAAACAUGGGUAAAGCAGGGACCCUGGGCUCAACCUAGCAGGCAGGAACUCAGAGGGGCUGACGUCCAGGGCAGACCAGCAGCAGACCAUGUUGGGUCAUGGCCUAGGGGUUAGAGUGGCUUAAUAUGUUUUGCUGAAAGGACAGAUGGAUUUCUGUGCCAGGUUUUAAAGAGGAAGCCAGGUGUGGAGUCUGGGAGCCACGCUGGAUCUGACACUCAGGCAGUUUGUCAUCUAAUUGGAAGAACCAAAGUAUGAAUACAUAACAAAUGAGUCACCUGAGCUGUUGUUAACUGAACAUGGGGCAAUAUUUCAAGAGUACCUGAAAGCCCUAUAUUAUGCAUUGUCUGGCUUGGGCCAAGGAGGGCAUGUGACUCUAGGAUACAAAAGAGUCCUCUGCGUUGGAGUGGUUUCUGAAGGUUUCAUGGAAGGGCAAAGGGUUAAGCUGACCCUUGAAGAGUGGAUGAAUGGAUAACUGAAUUAAUUCAGUCACUCAUUCACUCAAAAAAAUACUUAGAAAUCCCUGCAGUGAGAUAGGUGCCAAGAAUAAAGAGGUGAACAAUAGGGACACUGACGUUGGCUGCAUAGAAAUUGCAGGCUCAUGUAGGUUUGAGAGAAGCAAACAAGCAAGCAGGGAAGAUGCAAUUUCAGCCGGGACUGGAGGAAGUACAUAAGGCCGGUGAGGCACACCUAGAGCCAGCUUCUAAGGAAGUGUUCUUUCUGCUAACCUGGGCUGCUGCCAGGCCCAGCACUAAUUGUGCAUACUUUCUACCUGCUUUAAGGCUUGAUCCUAAAGAAAACUAAAAAUGUUAUUAAUAUAAACUCUUUGAGCUAGGGGGUGGCAAACACUUUCUGUAAAGGCCCGGAUAUUAAACAUUGUAGGCUUUGCAGGUGUGUCAUGAAAUACUAUUCUUGUUUUGAUUGUUUUCAAGCAUCUAAAAAUGUAAAACUCAUGUUUAGCUUACAGGCCAGAUUUGGCCUGCAGGCUGCAGUUUGCUGACCCUGGUCUAGGUCAAUACAGUUACUUUUGUUCAUAGACCAACAAGGUGUUCAAGUGCAUUGGUGGAUAAUA